AUUGUGCGUGAGGGAUAGCAGUGGAGCUCUUUUUUUGCUGGGCAUUUUUCUUGCCCAGCAAAAAAAAGCGGGAACGUAUAGCCCGACCCGAG
rnacentral:sRNA from 1 species